GUAGGUUAAAAGCCUUACCAGGCGACGAAUGGUAGCGACUGAAACGGUAUCGCCGCACUGACUUGGACACGUCCAGACUCCUACCGAAGCAGCAGUGGGGAAUAUGCCAUGGGGAAAUCUGACGCAGCACGCCGCGUGAGGGAGAGCUCGGUCGUAAACUCUGUCUUUGGGAAGAAAAAAAAUGACGGUACCCAAGGAGGAAGCCCGGCUAACUACGUGCCAGCAGCCGCGGUAAUACGUAGGGGGCAAGCGUUGUCCGGAAUUACUGGGCGUAAAGGGUGCGUAGGCGGCCGAUUAAGUCAGAUGUGAAAUACCACGGCUCAACUGUGGGGGUGCAUUUGAAACUGGUUGGCUUGAGUGCAGGAGAGGAAAGUGGAAUUCCUAGUGUAGCGGUGAAAUGCGUAGAGAUUAGGAGGAACACCAGUGGCGAAGGCGACUUUCUGGACUGUAACUGACGCUGAGGCACGAAAGCGUGGGGAGCAAACAGGAUUAGAUACCCUGGUAGUCCACGCCGUAAACGAUGGAUACUAGGUGUAGGGGGUAUCGACCCCCCCUGUGCCGGAGUUAACGCAAUAAGUAUCCCGCCUGGGGAGUACGGCCGCAAGGUUGAAACUCAAAGGAAUUGACGGGGGCCCGCACAAGCAGCGGAGCAUGUGGUUUAAUUCGAAGCAACGCGAAGAACCUUACCUAGACUUGACAUCUCCUGAAUUACCCGUAAUGGGGGAAGUCCUUCGGGACAGGAAGACAGGUGGUGCAUGGUUGUCGUCAGCUCGUGUCGUGAGAUGUUGGGUUAAGUCCCGCAACGAGCGCAACCCUUAUUGUUAGUUGCUACCAUUAAGUUGAGCACUCUAGCGAGACUGCCCGGGUUAACCGGGAGGAAGGUGGGGAUGACGUCAAAUCAUCAUGCCCCUUAUGUCUAGGGCUACACACGUGCUACAAUGGCCAGUACAGAGAGAAGCGAGACCGCAAGGUGGAGCAAAACUCAAAAACUGGUCCCAGUUCGGAUUGUAGGCUGAAACUCGCCUACAUGAAGCCGGAGUUGCUAGUAAUCGCGAAUCAGCAUGUCGCGGUGAAUACGUUCCCGGGCCUUGUACACACCGCCCGUCACACCAUGAGAGUUGGCAAUACCCAAAGUCCGUGAGCUAACCGUAAGGAGGCAGCGGCCUAAGGUAGGGUCAGCGAUUGGGGUGAAGUCGUAACAAGGUAGCCGU
rnacentral:rRNA from 1 species